rnacentral:misc_RNA from 1 species
GAAAUGCGAUAAGUAGUGUGAAUUGCAGAAUUCAGUGAAUCAUCGAAUCUUUGAACGCACAUUGCGCUCCCUGGUAUUCCUAGGAGCAUGCCUGUUUGAGUAUCAGUAAACCCAUCUCAUACCUCCUUUGGUUGUGAGGAUUUGAGGCAUCCCAGGCAGAGGCAACUCUGAAACUGGGCGCCUUUAAAGGCAUUGUUUGGCCCGGAUCUCAAAAGACCAUAUGGCUAAAAGGCGCGACAAAACUGACGAGCAUUUUGCUCUAAGGUUAAAAUCCGCUGCUUAGCCCAUGGAAAAAAUCUUUCGAGUCUCCAUUGCCUACUCAACACAAUGACACACUUGUAUGUACUCUGGUCAUACUUGUGAUCUUGAUCUCAAAUCAGGCAAGACUACCCGCUGAACU